ensembl:lncRNA
UUUUUGGUCUUUGUCCAAUGUCUUUUUUGGUGCCAUCUAGACCGGCCUCGGUUUCCAUAUCUAAAGAUGUUGCUUGAUGGUCCACUCUGGACCACUCAUAGGUUUGGUUCAGAUUUUGUCUGGUCUGGGCGAGCUUUGAUUUGGCCCAAACAUAAGAGGUCUAUAAAUGACGUAUUUCAACUUUCAUUCAGAAACGAAAAUGAACCUGAUUUCAACAUCUGGAAAAUGCAUAUUUUCACCUUUCAUUUAGAACCUAAAUUGAACCUAACUUCAACGUCUUGAAAAUACGGAUAGUAGAGGUCUUUUUAACGUCAUUUUUGCUUACUUGGGACAAUUCUCGUAAGGGGCGGGUAUUUUGUUGUCUCGCCGAGCGCGACCAGGACCGUCACAUAAGCACUUUCACUUUCCAAAGGUCAACGUCGUUUGAAGUGGCCUUCCGUGCUGGCGGGAGAUGUAUUUUAUCUUCGAAAAUAACAACAACAACAUAUUGUAGGCCGCAGAUGAAAACGUUUUGAUUGCGUCCAUCGUCUAAACUGGAAUGUAGUGUUUUCGUCUCGCAUGCUUUUGCGCGUCUACAGUCCGAAUGAAUCUAUCCACCCUGGGCCUGUAUUGAAUUGUAAAUAGCCUACAAUCAUACUUUCAUUUUUGAAUCUAUAUGUGCAACCCAAUAUGAACCUGAUCAUUAAUUAUUCAUUGAACUGGUAAAUAUAGCAAUUUUUCAAUAAAGAAAACUGAAUUGAAGAGGGCAACAGCAGUUGCGAUCGGCGCUAAUGGACCCGUUGGAUUUUCUGACAGAUAAACAGUUACUGCAGUUUUUCUGCUGUAGUAAAACAGAAAUGUCGUGCAUGGAGCAACCACACACCUUUCUUAACCAGCUCCGAGACCACCACCUCAUUCCGGAGAAAAUGCACAUGAAGCUGAUUCGGUGUAGGAAUAAGGCAGUGAGGGAGAAGGGUGUGUACCAGGUGUUGGACUGGUUGGAGGCAGAGAGGCCCAACAGCAUCAAGGUGUUCUGGAACUGUGUGUUCAGGGAUCACCUCCUGCUGCAGUACCCCACGUUACGCCUGCUCCGAAACCGCCUGCUGGACGGGUCUUUCACAUUUUAUGAGAAUCUGCCAGAGAAGAUGGAGAAGGAAGAGGAUGAGGAGGAUAAGAAGAAGAAGGCUUCAGCGGAUGAAGAAGAGGAAGAGGAAGAGGAGAAAAAGACAGGAAGGAAAAAGAGUAAAGAGAAAAGUGAGAGUGCAGAGAAGGGCAAGCCCAGCACGUCCACCCAGUCCACCCCCAGUCAGAAGAGGAAAGUCCAGAGGGUCAAAAACUGUUCUCCUUUUUGCAAGGGGGAGAAAUCUGACAUCUGGACCUGGCCCUUCUACAAGAUCCAGCUCCCAGUCACCUGUGGGGACAAGGAAGGCAUGCUCAUCAGAAACAUGCUGGCCACAGGGGAGAGGUGCAUUGUGGUCCAGGGUCGCUGGUUCACCCCAAGUGGCUUUGAGGAGUUUGGGGGAAAGAAGAGCAGAAAGAACUGGAAGUACAGUAUCCACUGUAGAAACACCACUCUGGGAGAACUGAUCCAGGGAGGUCAUUUAACUUCACCAGACAGUAAAAGAAGAAAGAGUGCACAGGAUCACCACCCUGGUUCCUCAUCCACUGUUCGGAGGUCCCUACAAAUUAAUAGAACGGUAACACAGCAUGGUAAUUCAGCUUCUGUAAGUACAACCUCUUACCAUACUGGGCAUAGAAACAUGUGGAACCAUUGA